UAGGGAAUCUUCGGCAAUGGACGAAAGUCUGACCGAGCAACGCCGCGUGAGUGAAGAAGGUUUUCGGAUCGUAAAACUCUGUUGGUAGAGAAGAACGUUGGUGAGAGUAGAAAGCUCAUCAAGUGACGGUAACUACCCAGAAAGGGACGGCUAACUACGUGCCAC
rnacentral:rRNA from 1 species